UCCAUCUCGGGCUGUGCGUACGCAUUAAUCGGCUGUUUGCUUGGCAGUCUGCCAGUGUGUUGCCUUGCCUCCAUCCAUUUUUUUGCGUAGAGUAAGGAUCCUUGAGCUAUUGCAGAGGCAGCCCGCUGCUCCAUAUUUGGCUUCUGUUACACAUUUACAUACUGAAGAGUGAGAGAGUGGAGCAGCAGCUAAGUAGUGCUGCAGAUAUCAGUCUACUACCGAGAAGGAGACAGGCAGAGCUACUGCACUGCAAGGAGAAGGACAGGGUCAAGAACUGGACUGCUGCGUGCCGGCCGGGCCCAUCUCACAGUCAAUAUAUUUACAGAAGACAUUACCUAUCUGAGUGAAUAUUUACCGUUAGUAGAAAACUGUGAGACAAAAAAUGUAUUCCUCGUGUUUCUGUCCCAUGUGUUGCCCUGUCUAUGGAAUCGACAAACAAGUUUAAAAGAAUCUGAAGUGUACAAAAUAAAGUGAGCUGGAUAAAAGCAAGUGUUGCGUGGGAAGCAGACUCAAAGACAUCUUUAUGAGACAUGGUUAUUCAAAGUCCGUGAGCACGGGAAUCUUCAAAGGGUGAAAUCAUCAGAUAUGACCUGGACAGAGUGAUAUGAUCAUAGAAGGCAGGG